rnacentral:misc_RNA from 1 species
UGGUUCUCGCAUCGAUGAAGAACGCAGCGAAAUGCGAUAAGUAAUGUGAAUUGCAGAAUUCAGUGAAUCAUCGAAUCUUUGAACGCACCUUGCACCUUUUGGUAUUCCGAAAGGUACAUCUGUUUGAGUGUCCAGUAUGCAACAGCCCUGAACUUUUUACCGAAAGUGUCGGUGGGCUGGAUGUUGAGUGCUGCUGUUUGUAAGGAUAGCUCACUUUAAAUGUAUAAGCGAUCUUCUACUCUUCGGAUCGACUUGGCAUGAUGAGAUCUUUGUCAAGGAUGCUUUUCAGCAGCCGGAUAGUUAAAGGGAGCUUCGAAAUUUGCGCACAUGUUGUGUGAUGCUUCUUAUGUUUGACCUCAAAUCAGAUGGGAUUACCCGCUGA